rnacentral:rRNA from 1 species
UUGCUGUGGUAUUUUGACUAUACAAAGGUAUUGUAAUAAGAUUUUAAUUGAAUGCUAAAAGAAUGGAAUCUCAGGGAAAGACUUUUUUAAUUUUAAAAAUUAAAGUUAUUUUAAUUUGUGAAGAAACAAUUAUAAUAAUUAAGGACAAGAAGACCCUAAGAAUUUUAAAUUUUUUAAAUAAAAAUAUUUUUAUAUAAAAAAUUUGGUUGGGGCAACCAAAAAAUAUUUUUAACUUUUUUUUGAAAAAAUGACCCAUUAUUAAUGAUAAUAUGAUUAAAUACUCUAGGGAUAACAGCGUAAUAAUUUUAGAUAGAACAUAUAGACAAAAUAGUUUGCGACCUCGAUGUUGGAUUAGGAUACUUUUUUAAUGAAGAUGUUAAAAAAAGGAGUUUGUUCAACUUUUAAAUUCCUACUUGAUCUGA